rnacentral:rRNA from 1 species
UUGGGUUAAGUCCCGCAACGAGCGCAACCCACGUUUUUAGUUGCCAGCAUUGAGUUGGGCACUCUAGAGAGACUGCCGGUGACAAACCGGAGGAAGGUGUGGAUGACGUCAAGUCAGCAUGCCCCUUACGUUCUGGGCUACACACGUACUACAAUGCUUCGGACAAAGGGCAGCGAGCGCGCGAGUGCAAGCCAAUCCCAUAAACCGAGGCUCAGUUCAGAUUGCAGGCUGCAACUCGCCUGCAUGAAGGCGGAAUCGCUAGUAAUCGCAGGUCAGCAUACUGCGGUGAAUACGUUCCCGGGCCUUGUACACACCGCCCGUCACACCAUGGGAGUUGGCCACGCCCGAAGUCGUUACUCCAACCGUUCGCGGAGGAGGAUGCCGAAGGCAGGGCUGAUGACUGGGGUGAAGUCGUAACAAGGUAACCA